UACGGAGGGUGCAAGCGUUAUCCGGAUUCACUGGGUUUAAAGGGUGCGUAGGUGGGUUGGUAAGUCAGUGGUGAAAUCCCCGAGCUUAACUUGGGAACUGCCAUUGAUACUAUCAGUCUUGAAUAUUGUGGAGGUUAGCGGAAUAUGUCAUGUAGCGGUGAAAUGCCUAGAUAUGACAUAGAACACCAAUUGCGAAGGCAGCUGGCUACGCAUAUAUUGACACUGAGGCACGAAAGCGUGGGGAUCAAACAGG
rnacentral:rRNA from 1 species